ACUGACAGCCAUGGUUACCGCGGCUGCUGGCACGGAGUUAGCCGGUGCUUCUUCUGUGAGUGAUGUCCUUCCUGCCGGUUAUUGACCCGCAGGCCUUCUUCCUCACUGAAAGUGCUUUACAACCCGAAGGCCUUCUUCACACACGCGGCAUGGCUGGAUCAGGGUUGCCCCAUUGUCCAAUAUUCCCCACUGCUGCCUCCCGUAGGAGUCUGGGCCGUGUCUCAGUCCCAGUGUGGCUGAUCAUCCUCUCAGACCAGCUACGGAUCGUCGCCUUGGUGAGCCGUUACCUCACCAACCAGCUAAUCCGACAUAGGCUCAUCCGAUAGCGCGAGGCCCGAAGGUCCCCCGCUUUCCCCCGUAGGGCGUAUGCGGUAUUAGCCUGGGUUUCCCCAGGUUAUCCCCCACUACCGGGCAGAUUCCUAUGCAUUACUCACCCGUCCGCCGCUCGCCACCAGGGAGCAAGCUCCCCGUGCUGCCGCUCGACUUGCAUGUGUUAGGCCUGCCGCCAGCGUUCAAU
rnacentral:rRNA from 1 species